GGGGUGGGGUGAGGCCAGCUUAGGUCUGCGAGGGUGGCCGUGGCGAGCUCCGCGCGUCCCGUCUUAAACGGUCCGCCAGAGACAGGAGGAGGAACGCAUGAGCUUACUCGGUGAGGUGACCAAGGAGACGCCAAGACUCACGUUUGUUUUCUCCUAUCCGGAUCCAACCUGCACUUCACUUUACAUCUGAGUUCCCCAAGAAAUCCCCACUGCCCCCAAAGCCUUCCCCUUUGGUGCUACGUAGGGGUGACCACACGGACUGGCCGGCUCCCCAAACCUUUGUACGCUAGUUUCCCAAGUGAGUCCCCAAAGCCAAGGCUGUCUGAUCACACUAGCAGGGAAUGGAGGAAAUGAAACCAUUGUGCAGUAAUAUCAAGAGGUGGGUGAGUGGGGCUGGAGAGAUGACUCAGUGGUUAAGAGCACUGGCUGCUCUUCCACGAUUCCCAGCACCUUCAUGGAGACUCACAACCAUCUCUUAACUCCAGUUCCAGGGGAUGUAAUGACCUCUUUUGGUCUCCGAGGAUGCCAGGCACACAAGCGGUUCACAGACAUACAUGCAGACAAAAUACCCAUGCACAUAAACUUUAAAGAAAUUCUUAAAGGUGGAUUUGGGAGAGCUGGUCCUCCGAGCUUAGCCUGACCAUCACCAUCCUGGGACAUGAGUUACCAUGGUGACUGAGCAGAGACCCCAGCUUGUGACUGGGACAUAGCAGAACUUAAAUAAAAUUGAGGGGAUAAUUGA